AAACAAUUAAAAUUACUCAAAAAAGUUUAUCUUACUAUAGAAAUGGGUGGCAUGGGAGAAAUACUCGGGAACUCAUGUUUUUGGCUGCAUGGUAUAAUUCUUCCUUUUCCCUUUAGCUGCUCUUUUCUGCUUUUGUUAUUUGUGUUUAUCAAAUUUUUGUUCCUUUUUUUUUUCUUCUAAUUAUAAUACUUAUAACAAGCUAUGAGCACCUCACUCUUGGUUUAUUUUUUUCUUCUCUUUCCUAAAUUUUUAUUUUCAAUGCUCAACAAAAAGUUUUGCGUAGGGUUUGCUUUAUUUCUAAAGUUUGAUGCUUCUAGGUUUUUUAAAGCAUUAUUGCUACCUAAAACACAGCAAUAUAUUAUAUCUACUUACUCUAUCAAAUCUCUUAACCGUUCAUCAAUCUCUUUGGUUCUUUUUUCAAUCUUUUGAAAAACAAAUUUAUUCUUUUAAUACCAGGAAUUUCAACCCCAAAAAGCGAAUUCCUAAAUUCAUAAAAACCACUCAAAAUCAUGUAGUCAGAUUCAAUAUCAAAUCUCAAUUCAAAUUCAGGUAUGUUUCUAAAUUUCAAUCUAUAUAUUACAUGACUUGAAUAUGUAUCUAAAUUUCAAUCUAUAUAUUACAUGACUUGAAUAUGUAUCUAAAUUUCAAUCUAUAUAUUACAUGACUUAUUUUAUUAAAUCAUUAUCAUGUUGAUGAUUGGUUAUACAAGAAAAUAUAGUUUUUAGAAAUAUUUAUCUAUUUCUUGUUAGGGUUAUCUUCCAGGUUAUAAGGUUUUAGAAUUUUUCUUUGUAAUCUAAGCAUACCACCUACUAGAAAAUAUGUUUAUAGAUAUACAAAACGACUUAGAGAAAGAAAAAUUGAGGACUUGACUCAAUCUUAAAGAGGACCUCUAGAUAGAUUAUUCAUUGGUACAUGCUACAAUUGAUGAAAAUAUUUCCAAUGAACAACAACAAGAUGAUGCUGAGGAAUUGCAAGAUAUUGAAAACAAUAUGGAUGAAUGUGUGAGUAAUGUUGAGCAUAAUGACAAUGAUGACGAUGAUGACAAUGAAAAUGUUGAUAUCGAUGAAAAUAUUGUUUUAUGACAUUAAGGCAUGACAAGUUUUUUUAUUAUAAUAUUUUCGUAUUAGAUUUUGUGUUGCCCUAAUUUAAGUUUCGCACAGGACCCUCAAAAUUUUGACAGCUCUUGGAUUGCUUGAGAAGUUAACUCAUCGGUUAUGAUUCUGUUGAUUUCAGCACCUACUGAGACUGAGGUCAUCACUGGCUUUGAAUGUUAUUGCUUCCAACAAUUGUUUGUGACCGCAGAUUACAUGGUAGGCAAGGCAAGAAGGAUUGAGAAAAUGGGUUAGGGAUGGUUCCAUUUUUGGAGAGGAUGAAGAACCUGUAAAAUGGUUACUAUUGUAACAAAGAUGAUAAUGAAGAAGAAUCUUUUUGGCUUGCUGCUUCUUGUUCUUAUACUCUUCUUCUUUUUUUCCAAAAAAGAAAAGGACUCAUGUAGCCAAG
rnacentral:lncRNA from 1 species